AUUGAACGCUGGCGGCAUGCCUUACACAUGCAAGUCGAACGGUAACAGGUCUUCGGAUGCUGACGAGUGGCGAACGGGUGAGUAAUACAUCGGAACGUGCCCGAUCGUGGGGGAUAACGAGGCGAAAGCUUUGCUAAUACCGCAUACGAUCUACGGAUGAAAGCGGGGGAUCUUCGGACCUCGCGCGGACGGAGCGGCCGAUGGCAGAUUCGGUAGUUGGUGGGAUAAAAGCUUACCAAGCCGACGAUCUGUAGCUGGUCUGAGAGGAUGAUCAGCCACACUGGGACUGAGACACGUCCCAGACUCCUACGGGAGGCAGCAGUGGGGAAUUUUGGACAAUGGGCGAAAGCCUGAUCCAGCCAUGCCGCGUGCAGGAUGAAGGCCUUCGGGUUGUAAACUGCUUUUGUACGGAACGAAAAGCCUCUUUCUAAUAAAGAGGGGUCAUGACGGUACCGUAAGAAUAAGCACCGGCUAACUACGUGCCAGCCGCCGCAUAAUAC
rnacentral:rRNA from 1 species